rnacentral:rRNA from 1 species
UACAGAGGGGGCAAGCGUUAUUCGGAAUUACUGGGCGUAAAGGGCUCGUAGGCGGCCAACUAAGUCAGACGUGAAAUCCCUCGGCUUAACCGGGGAACUGCGUCUGAUACUGGAUGGCUUGAGUUCGGGAGAGGGAUGCGGAAUUCCAGGUGUAGCGGUGAAAUGCGUAGAUAUCUGGAGGAACACCGGUGGCGAAGGCGGCAUCCUGGACCGACACUGACGCUGAGGAGCGAAAGCCAGGGGAGCAAACGGG